rnacentral:rRNA from 1 species
CUUUGUUGCCAGCGGUUAGGCCGGGAACUCAAAGGAGACUGCCAGUGAUAAACUGGAGGAAGGUGGGGAUGACGUCAAGUCAUCAUGGCCCUUACGACCAGGGCUACACACGUGCUACAAUGGCGCAUACAAAGAGAAGCGACCUCGCGAGAGCAAGCGGACCUCAUAAAGUGCGUCGUAGUCCGGAUUGGAGUCUGCAACUCGACUCCAUGAAGUCGGAAUCGCUAGUAAUCGUGGAUCAGAAUGCCACGGUGAAUACGUUCCCGGGCCUUGUACACACCGCCCGUCACACCAUGGGAGUGGGUUGCAAAAGAAGUAGGUAGCUUAACCUUCGGGAGGGCGCUUACCACUUUGUGAUUCAUGACUGGGGUGAAGUCGUAACAAGGUAACCGUAGGGGAACCUGC